CGCAUCUGUGCAUGCAGCAUAUCAAUAAGCGGAGGAAAAGAAACUAACAAGGAUUCCCCUAGUAACGGCGAGUGAAGCGGGAAGAGCUCAAAUUUGAAAUCUUAAAGGGUUUCCCUUUACGAAUUGUAGUUUAAAGAAGUGUUUUCUGUUGAGGUUUUGGUAAAAGUUCUUUGGAAUAGGACAUCAUAGAGGGUGAGAAUCCCGUAUUUGACCUUACUUUCAACUUUGUGAUACACUUUCAAAGAGUCGGAUUGUUUGGGAAUGCAGUCCAAAAUGGGUGGUAAAUUUCAUCUAAAGCUAAAUAUUGGCGAGAGACCGAUAGCGAACAAGUACCGUGAGGGAAAGACUGAAAAGAACUUUGAAAAGAGAGUUAAACAGUACGUGAAAUUGUCAAAAGGGAAGCGUUUGACACCAGUGUUGUUUUUCUGAAAAUCAAUUAAAGAACUGUUUAUGCUAAGUUGUUUAGACUUUAUCAGCUAACUGUUUAGUUUUGAGCUUUUCUUUAAUGCACUUUUCAGUUAACAAGUCAACAUCAAUUUCUUUUGCUGUAAAAAAGCUUGAGGAAGGUGGCUUGAGAUUCGUCUUAAGUGUUUAUAGCCUCUUGCCUAUGCAGUCGGAGAGAUUGAGGUCUGCAGCGUAGAUCCUUCGGGGCUAAAUGCAUUUGUGCUAAGUUAUAGCAUUUUAUAGACAACUUGUUGACUAUGAUUUGUCUUGUAGCUUACUCGCUUAUGUUAUUUUACCUACGCUUAGGAUGUUGACAGCAGUAUAGACUGU
rnacentral:rRNA from 1 species